AUUGGAUUUUAUUUAUGACUUACCGGUUUGGGAAAUGGCUUAGCUAAACCAGAUCAUUAUAGCACCGGUUAUCGGCGAUUCAUUAUAUUCUUCUUCUUCAACUGCGGGUUCUGUAAUUGGAUCAGAGAGCUUUUGUUGGAUUCCAAUCACAACGAGAAGAUUUUGCAGAUGCACGAGAAAAUUUGAAGAGGGUGGUGUCUGGGAUAGGAAGAACAGGCUAUAAGGCUUGUACUGCAUGUCCACCAGAAACUUUAAGCUUAUUUCUGGAUUCUAUCUUUCCUUACGAGACCUUCAUUUUUUUUACACUCUGCUGACCAUCAUCAUAACUCUGGAUAGAGUUUCUCUCAAGCAAAACUUUUUCUUUGAGGAUGUGAAGUAAAAUGCUAAAUUGCUCAACUAAUUUGGGAAGAUACCCUUCCUUUCUGAGUUCUUGAACUCCCUGUACGUGUGCCAGUAGCACAAGGCAUUUUUUUCUCAGCAUUUACUGGAAUGGCAGAGCAGAUAAAGUUUGACCUUUGCUUGUACCCACAUUUCCGGUUCUACAUGAGGGAAGUGAGAACGGUGGUGUACUCUCAGUUUGUUGGAAUCUUACAAGAGCGUGACGGUUGAUGCCAUGGCAAAGGCCUUUGGUGUUUCAGUGGACUUCAUUGAUCAGGAGCUGUCAUGCUUCACUGCAAGAUAGUCAAAGUUGCAGGUGUUUUGGAGACAAAGAAUGCACUUUACCAGGCAACAAUCAAGCAAGGGGAUUUCUAGCUAAACAGGAUCCAGAAGCUGUCUCAAGUCAGCAGCACUUUAGUUAGUCUCAGAUAUUAACCUUGGGUUCUUUGCAAGGCAUAAAAGUGUUGGAUGGUUUGGAACAAAAGGCUAAGGCUAGUGGUGCUUCUCACAGAGGAGUUUGUCAAUGAUUACAUAUUCCCUUGUCUUAGAGCUGGGAGGCAAUGGUAGAUGUAGUAGCAGAGGUUGGAGCUGAUGCCGUUUCACAUGGGUGGUACUGGCUAAGGAAAUGAUGACCAGGCAAG